rnacentral:rRNA from 1 species
CCUACGGGCGGCAGCAGUAAGGGAUAUUGGUCAAUGGGGGAAACCCUGAACCAGCAACGCCGCGUGAGGGAAGACGGUUUUCGGAUUGUAAACCUCUGUCCUCUGUGAAGAUGAUGACGGUAGCAGAGGAGGAAGCUCCGGCUAACUACGUGCCAGCAGCCGCGGUAAUACGUAGGGAGCGAGCGUUGUCCGGAUUUACUGGGUGUAAAGGGUGCGUAGGCGGCUUGGCAAGUCAGCUGUGAAAACUACGGGCUUAACCUGUAGACUGCAGUUGAAACUGGUUUUCUUGAGUGAAGUAGAGGUUGGCGGAAUUCCGAGUGUAGCGGUGAAAUGCGUAGAUAUUCGGAGGAACACCGGUGGCGAAGGCGGCCAACUGGGCUUAAACUGACGCUGAGGCUCGAAAGUGUGGGGAGCAAACAGGAUUAGAUACCCCGGUAGUC